rnacentral:rRNA from 1 species
UGAGGAAUAUUGGUCAAUGGGCGCGAGCCUGAACCAGCCAAGUAGCGUGAAGGAUGAAGGUCCUAUGGAUUGUAAACUUCUUUUAUACGGGAAUAAAGUGGUCCACGUGUGGGCUUUUGCAUGUACCGUAUGAAUAAGCAUCGGCUAACUCCGUGCCAGCAGCCGCGGUAAUACGGAGGAUGCGAGCGUUAUCCGGAUUUAUUGGGUUUAAAGGGAGCGCAGACGGGGGAUUAAGUCAGUUGUGAAAGUUUGCGGCUCAACCGUAAAAUUGCAGUUGAUACUGGUUCCCUUGAGUGCAGUUGAGGCAGGCGGAAUUCGUGGUGUAGCGGUGAAAUGCAUAGAUAUCACGAAGAACCCCGAUUGCGAAGGCAGCCUGCUAAGCUGUAACUGACGUUGAGGCUCGAAAGUGUGGGUAUCAAACAGGAUUAGAUACCCUGGUAGUCCACACGGUAAACGAUGGAUACUCGCUGUUGGCGAUAUACUGUCAGCGGCCAAGCGAAAGCAUUAAGUAUCCCACCUGGGGAGUACGCCGGCAACGGUGAAACUCAAAGGAAUUGACGGGGACCCGCACAAGCGGAGGAACAUGUGGUUUAAUUCGAUGAUACGCGAGGAACCUUACCCGGGCUUAAAUUGCAAACGAAUUACUUGGAAACAGGUAAGCCGCAAGGCGUCUGUGAAGGUGCUGCAUGGUUGUCGUCAGCUCGUGCCGUGAGGUGUCGGCUUAAGUGCCAUAACGAGCGCAACCCUCGUGGCCAGUUACUAGCAGGUAACGCUGAGGACUCUGGCCAGACUGCCAUCGCAAGGUGCGAGGAAGGUGGGGAUGACGUCAAAUCAGCACGGCCCUUACGUCCGGGGCUACACACGUGUUACAAUGGGAGGUACAGAAGGCAGCUACCCGGCGACGGGAUGCCAAUCUCCAAAGCCUCUCUCAGUUCGGACUGGAGUCUGCAACCCGACUCCACGAAGCUGGAUUCGCUAGUAAUCGCGCAUCAGCCACGGCGCGGUGAAUACGUUCCC